AUCAGGUUGAGUCUGGUGGUUCUGAUGCUGAUUCCUUUGCUUUUGUUGAGUAUACAGAUAAGGAAGAAGAAACGGGCAAACUUACAUACUGGAGCAGAUGGAACUGCUGAUAUGAUGCAGUUAGAUUCUCAUUCUGUUUAUGAGAACCUUUCAGCCUUGAAGGCCUUCACAGCAAGCAC